GACGGCACUUAGAGGCUUUUGCAUCUGAAGUCUUUAGUUUUAAAAAUUAUACAACUGGCCUCUGUAUCCCUUUAAUAUGUAAUAAAUAUGAUUUAUUUUGUUUUAGUCCUUUGAUGCAUUUGCUACACUCUCUCCUGAUUUCCCCCACCUCCACACACUUCUCUUUGUUUGACAAGUUUGUGGGGUUAUGCAUACAAAUAAAAGUGAAAGCCAGUGUGAAUUUGUUAGACAGACAGUUGAGACUUGUGGCAUAUGGGGAAGCAGGCUGGACACAAUCCAGAGGGCUAGAAGCUAUACAGAGAAAAAGAGAGCAAAAGGGGAAUGACUGGUGUGUGGAGUAAAAGAGACCGACAGAAAGGGAGAGAGAUGGAGGCCCCAGGCAGCCUGCCCGGUCUUUGUUUACAACAAAAAACCAUUGUUUGAUGUGGCCGCAGAGCCUCUGCUUCAAACCAGGCUUCUUCUCCCACAGGAUGUGCUGAGGGUAAGAUGCCAGACAGAGACUGAGGACUGGAAAACCUGUAGGCCUACACCAAGGAAAAUUCUCAGGACAUUGGAAUCUGUACGAGAGGAUGGAAUGGCUCACCAGUCCCAACCGGAAUACGAAUAUUCAGCAAGGACAGGAUUCAGGAACACAAUUCUCACAAAGAAAAAAAAACCCAGCCUUGUAACAACAAAGCCAAAAUGAAACAUUAAUGUCAUUGUCCAAAUAAAUCAUUUCAAAUUAAA